rnacentral:rRNA from 1 species
AUCGUCGAUAAACGAGCGAGGCCCUACCCUUUUAAAUAGCCAGGCUAUCUUUGGGGGGUCGCGGCUUUUUAAGAGGGCCUAUCGGGUCAAACCGAUGGAAGUUUGAGGCAAUAACAGGUCUGUGAUGCCCUUAGAUGUUUUGGGCCGCACGCGCGCUACACUGACAGAGCCAACGAGUUCUUUUCCUUGGCCGAAAGGUCUGGGUAAUCUUGUUAAACUCCGUCGUGCUGGGGAUAGAGCAUUGCAAUUAUUGCUCUUCAACGAGGAAUUCCUAGUAAGCGCAAGUCAUCAGCAUGCGUUGAUUACGUCCCUGCCCCUUUUCC